CAGUGGGAGUCGCACCGCAGUCAGACUUCAGUCCUCACAUUAUUAACAAAAAAGCAAAAAUAAAGCAACGGUUGGAAUCUCCUAACAUUUUGGACGUCGACGAACAGAGGUUCCCUUUGGGUGAAGUGCAAUGAGGAUUCCUGUUGAUUUUUUCCAUUCAGCCCAGGACUGACUCGGGCUAUUGACUCUUGGAAUGAAAACCGGAGAAAGAAAUCCCGCCUGGGAAUGUUACUACAGCUGCUCGUAUCAGCAGAAGCUCAAACCAAAAAUCAAAGGUACUGCACUGAUCGAUGGUAAAAUUCAAUUUAUGGAUUCUUAAGUGACGACUUUUCAAGCGUCCUUUUAUUUGAAAUAUCAAAGGCGUUUGAACAGCGGUCUGGACAAUGGGAGGAAAUGAUAUCUGAACAGAUCUGUGAAAGCAACUGCUGGAGAGCACAAAUGAUUUUCCUCACGGACUGGAUAUAAUUGGUCUUACAAGUGUAUCAAUGGCAAAUGUCAGGUAUAAACACAAGGUGCUACAAUCUGAAGGAGACACUGUUCAUAUAAAUAGUGAUUAAACUUGACAGCAGUUCCCUACCCAUGACUCGCAUUGAGAUGUUUUGACCUGAGAAAGCUGAAGAAUCCUGCAAUGCAAGUUCAUGAUUUCAUUAUCAACAAUAUCCCUUCUGGGAAGGAGUGGCCAACAGUUUUGGGAGAAGGAAGUAUUAAUUCAGUGGGAAGCCGGAGCUGAGAGAAACUAAAGGGCUUUGCGAUGGUUUGGAAACAAUAUCAGAAGAGCCCGAAGAUGACCAACACUUGCUAAAAAUUGAGACUACCUUGGCAUGUGUCUAGGAAAGCUUCUCAACAAUAAGGCAUUAGAAGAUUUUCAGGUGCUGUCCAAAUUUAAUCCAUCAAUGAAGAACAACAUUUUUUUAAAUUC